GCUUAGCGACUUCAGUACAUGCCUCAUAAUUCCAGUCUCAAACUUAACCCCGUUCCUGCUGAAGAAGAGAUAAGGUCUGUUGGAUGGAGAAAGUAGCUCUCGUGAAAGAGGAGGAGGAGGAGGAAGAGGAGGUUGUUACAAUACAAAAACAAGUAGAAGGAGAGAGGCGUGACUAUCGUGGAUCCUCUGGGGAGCCUCAACAACCUCAUGAUGCUGACGAGGCAGAGAAGAGUCUCUCUACGUCAAAACACCUCAAGAAACACCAGCAGAGACCCACAGGGAAGACAUCUCAUUGCUGCUCUGACUGUGGGAAAGGUUGCAAAUCUUCAUCAGAAAUUAAAAUACACCAGAGAACACACACAGGAGAGAAAUCUCAUAGCUGUGAUCAAUGUGGGAAGAGUUUUAUUACAUCUAGCCAGCUGACUUCACACCAGAGAACACACACAGGAGAGAAACCUCAUAGCUGUGAUCAAUGUGACAAGAAAUACUCUGAUAAAAGAGCUCUGAUCAAACAUCAGAAAAUACAUACAUGAAGGAGUUGUUUAAUGAUAUCAAUGAAAUAAUGUCACAAUGCAGAAUGUUUUAACAUUGUAGUAGGAGUAUUUUAAUGAUGUCACAAUGUAGAAUGUUUUAACAUUGUAGUAGGAGUAUUUUAAUGAGGUUCUACCUUAUUCUACCUUAUGCUGCAAUCAAUAUCAUGAUUGCAGCAUGAUAUGGAUAUUAGCCUCAGGGGAAAAUCCCGGCUCUGAAUUGAAAGAGUAUUAUUUAACAAAAGGUGACUAACAAAAAAGAGCUGUGUGACACUUACUGCGUUGGUGACCCACUUUAAUCAAAAUGCAGUACUUCAAAAUGUAGCUAGCUGUUUUCUACAAGUUGAAAAAGCUGCUUGUUUAAGAAAAUACACGUAAUAUGAUAAUUGGUGCAGAUGUUUCUGUAUAUACACACAUGAAAGCAGUAUAAUAUAUUGGUCUAUAAUCAAUGUUAUUAACAAUCUGA